rnacentral:rRNA from 1 species
AACGAACGCUGGCGGCAGGCUUAACACAUGCAAGUCGAGCGCCCCGCAAGGGGAGCGGCAGACGGGUGAGUAACGCGUGGGAAUCCACCCAUCUCUACGGAAUAACGCAUGGAAACGUGUGCUAAUACCGGAUACGGCCUUCGGGAGAAAGAUUUAUGGGAGAUGGAUGAGCCCGCGUUGGAUUAGCUAGUUGGUGGGGUAAUGGCCUACCAAGGCGACGAUCAAUAGCUGGUCUGAGAGGAUGGAUCAGCCACACUGGGACUGAGACACGGCCCAGACUCCUACGGGAGGCAGCAGUGGGGAAUAUUGGACAAUGGGCGAAAGCCUGAUCCAGCCAUGCCGCAUGAGUGAUGAAGGCCCUAGGGUUGUAAAGCUCUUUCGCAGGUGAAGAUAAUGACGGUAACCUGAGAAGAAGCCCCGGCUAACUUCGUGCCAGCCGCCGCGGUAACAC